UACGUAGGGUGCGAGCGUUAAUCGGAAUUACUGGGCGUAAAGGGCGCGUAGGCGGCUUGACAAGUCAAAGGUGAAAUCCCUCGGCUCAACUGAGGAACUGCCUUUGAAACUGUCUGGCUUGAGGCCGGGAGGGGGUAGCGGAAUUCCCAGUGUAGCGGUGAAAUGCGUAGAUAUUGGGAGGAACACCAGUGGCGAAGGCGGCUACCUGGACCGGUUCUGACGCUGAUGCGCGAAAGCGUGGGUAGCAAACAGG
rnacentral:rRNA from 1 species